rnacentral:misc_RNA from 1 species
UCCGAUUUAUCAUCGGCAGUCUCUCUAGAGUGCUCAACAUUACUUGUUAGCAACUAAAGACAAGGGUUGCGCUCGUUGCGGGACUUAACCCAACAUCUCACGACACGAGCUGACGACAACCAUGCACCACCUGUGUCCCCUGUCCCCGAAGGGAAAGAUCUAUCUCUAGACCGGUCAGGGGCAUGUCAAGCCCUGGUAAGGUUCUUCGCGUUGCUUCGAAUUAAACCACAUGCUCCGCUGCUUGUGCGGGUCCCCGUCAAUUCCUUUGAGUUUCAUACUUGCGUACGUACUCCCCAGGCGGAGUGCUUAAUGCGUUAGCUGCGGCACCGAGGUUUGACCCCCAACACCUAGCACUCAUCGUUUACGGCGUGGACUAC